rnacentral:rRNA from 1 species
AAUAUUGGACAAUGGGCGAAAGCCUGAUCCAGCCAUGCCGCGUGUGUGAAGAAGGUCUUCGGAUUGUAAAGCACUUUAAGUUGGGCGGAAGAGUUGUAGGCUAAUACCUUGCAAUUUUGACGUUACCAACAGAAUAAGCACCGGCUAACUUCGCGCCAGCAGCCGCGGUAAUACGAAGGGUGCAAGCGUUAAUCGGAAUUACUGGGCGUAAAGCGGGCUUAGGUGGUUCGUUAAGUUGGAAGUGAAAGCCCCGGGCUUAACCUGGGAAUUGCUUUCAAAACUGACGAGCUAGAGUACGGUAGAGGGUAGUGGAAUUUCCUGUGUAGCGGUGAAAUGCGUAGAUAUAGGAAGGAACACCAGUGGCGAAGGCGACCACCUGGGCUAAUACUGACACUGAGGUGCGAAAGCGUGGGGAGCAAACAGG